CGGCUCCCUGUCACCGGGAGUGGGCGGGCCAUUUCUUGUUCUCUCUCCCGCUCUCGGAAGCUUUCGUCUCGUGGGUGCGAAAGGUAACCGAAGCGGCUCAGGAAGGCAGCUGUCACUGAGCCCCUGGAACAGAGCGAGAGUAUCGUAGUGGGCAGCAGUCAGUGACAGGUGUAACCUCUGUGGAUGACAGCAACAGUUACUGGAGGAUACGGGGGAAGAGUGCCACAGUGUGUGAGAGGGGAACCCCCAUCAAGUGUGGCCAGCCCAUCCGGCUGACACAUGUCAACACUGGCCGAAACCUCCAUAGUCACCACUUCACUUCACCUCUUUCUGGAAACCAGUUGCUCUGUAAGGUGAUAUUGUGAUCAUUUUAUAGAGGAGAAAACAAAGGCUCAAAGGAUUUACAGAAGAAGGGAUCAAGUUGAGAUUCAAGGAAGUGAGUGCUUUUGGUGAGGAAGGUGAAGGUGAUUAUCUGGAUGACUGGACAGUGCUCUGUAAUGGACCCUACUGGGUGAGAGAUGGUGAGGUGCGGUUCAAACACUCUUCCACUGAGGUACUGCUGUCUGUCACAGGAGAACAAUAU
rnacentral:lncRNA from 1 species